rnacentral:lncRNA from 1 species
UAUCCGAGAUUUAUUGUAGUUCCAAAUUCUGAUCAGGGCAACGUGGCAAGGGUGCGUGAAGUCAAUGGUGAUGGAGUGGGAUCUGCCCCGCGUGAAGGGGGCCAGCCAGACAUGCAUGUCAUCCUGGGUCCUGUUCACCCCGUCGAUGAGAGAGAACCUGCCUGAGAAUGAAGCCAACACCGAGAACACGAGUCGAGAGAUGGAGGAUCCUGAUGACAACCUCUGAACUCCUGGAUCCAGCUGUGCCUAAAGUCAAACUCCUGGUGGCUUUCUGGCCUUUGC